rnacentral:rRNA from 1 species
AUACGGGGGGUGCAAGCGUUAUUCGGAUUUAUUGGGCGUAAAGAGCGCGUAGGCGGCUUGGUAAGUCAGAUGUGAAAGCCCGGGGCUCAACCCCGGAAGUGCAUUUGAAACUAUCAGGCUUGAGUAUGGGAGAGGGAAGUGGAAUUCCUGGUGUAGAGGUGAAAUUCGUAGAUAUCAGGAUGAACACCGGUGGCGAAGGCGACUUCCUGGACCAAUACUGACGCUGAGGCGCGAAGGCGUGGGGAGCAAACAGGAUUAGAUACCCGAGUAGUCC